AUUGAAGGUCUUCAACAUAAAUCGUUCCUUCGUUGACUGUUAUAAGGCGGGCUACAUACUGCGAGGUAGACCCACUAUGAAACCCGUCAGUUAUGAGUUGGCUAUAGGUUUAAAUCGGCCACGUCCAGAUGUAUUACCGCAUUGAAAUAUAGCGGUCUGUGUAUCAGCGCCCACUUCAAAACGCAGAAAUGCAGAAGAUGAUUAAUCUUUCCUACGAACGAAGUCUUGGAAUCUGGAGCAGGGUUUUCCUGUCUGAAUCCUAACUUGAGCUGCAAAUCGUGUUGCAUGCGAAGAUGCAAAUGUAUGGCUUUAAUUUGUAUUGUGACGUGCGUCAUAAAUCCCGAAUACUCGCGCUGGAGGGGAAAGGCCGCCUGACUGCCCUCCCUGGCUAGCGGACGCGGACUGUAGGUGUGACCGCUACCGAAUGUUCCAGACGCCGUAUUCCCCUCCCGAGGGAUGGUAGAAACUACCGGAAAUUACCAGAAUUGAAAGCUUCUAGUAGUCGUAAUUUCAAGGAAGCGUACUUCCAGACUUCCUGGUUUGGAAGCUUCGACAGCUGGGCCGGCGAUUAUAAAAAGGUCGCCUGCCCGAAUGCGGGUGGAUAAGUAGUUGUUGACAGCGGUGGCGACAGUUGAUAAGCGAGAGGAGCGAGUUGUUGAUAAGAAUGAGUGUGUGGAGCCAUAGAGCAGUCUGGUGUGGCGCUGAGCAAGAAGUGGUCGGCUGCGUGUGAGGCGCACCGCAUUCGUGGACCGUGGCGGCUGAGGAGACAGCGUGUGUCCAGUGGGGGCCGACGUGUGCGUGUGCGAAGAGAGGGUGUACAACAGCCAUUUCUCGCACUGAUGCAGGGUCACUGCUUAAUACGCUAGUGCUGGCAGAACAUACCAGAAAUCCCAAAACCCAAGUCCACAUCGCCAAUUCUUGACAGGAAUUUUGAUUUGUAUUGAUUCGUAAUUCAAGAGUCUCAGUCACAGGUAGUCUACACGUACUAGCAAACAUACUCUGUCCAUUUCUCAUGAAAAAUUGUACAUUCAGAAUCACGUUUUAAGUUUUUUAACAAAGAUGUUACAUAAGAUGUUUUUGUUCAAUUUAUCCUAGUUUCAUUUAACUAUGAACAACGCAAAUCAGUGAAUGUUGGGAAAAUGUACUCGCUACUUAAAACAUAGUUAGAAGCAGGGGCGCCUUCGACGUUGCGAUGGCUUAGGCGUCCUGGAAGUAGAAAUGUAACGUAAAAAUACAAGACUGAAAGGAAUAAAUAAAUAAGACGCCGUUAAAUAUAUAGAGUGGGGAAUAAGAGUCCAUCCCCACCCAUCGGUCACAUCUUCGUGGGUGAACAGACGAAAGCAAAGGUUUGUAGAGAUGCGUAGUAUUUGUUCUGUCUGCUACCGGUACAAGAACAGUGUGGGGUUGAGCCGUUUUAUUACACGUGGCUGGCUUCCUACACGUAUCUGUACGCCGUUUAAAACGGACAGUGCACCAUACCAAAGAGUAAUGAUUCUUCUCCCGGCCAUGUUUGAAUUUUCGUUCGUUGUUGACGUACGUCAUAUGCUUCAAGCAACUUUUUUGAUUCACUGUUGAGUUUCAAUGUGAGUGCUUAAUGCGCGCUCUUUCAGUAACUACACAAACACGUGUUAAUUAAUUGUAUUGUUUUUACUGUUAAGUCUGUUCGGCCAGGUUUAUGUGGCAAAACAAGAGUGCGAAAGAAAACAAGCACAAAUAUUUCUUUCGCAAAAGUUUUCUUGUUGCAGCCAACUAAAAUUGAGGCUUUGGUAGUAUUGCCUGACGAAAUGUGUGCCGUUACCCCCCCACUCCACCCUUGAGAACGCUGUACAGCAUUUUCAUCACUUGGCCGGUGACACGUGAAAAUGAUGAAUUAAUGUUUUGACGACUUUCUCAUCGAAUGUAUCUACGAUACCGACCUUCUUCUUUUGUGGACGUGAUUUCGCCUGUGUUGAAAAUGAAGUUGGCGUGCGUUUGUCAACUUCCUUUGAUAAUUCUUGCAAGUGUUCGCUUGAAAAUGCCAGUGGCAGCCAUCACCCUUGAGCCAACACUUUUAAAGGGAUUUUUAUGUCAUCCCCUGCCUCGUCUGGCUUAUAUGCCGACACGUCAUAACUUAUCUCUCGUCUUUGACUGUGAAUAAAUCUGUUAUCGCCUAUCUAAGACGUUUCGUAAUGGACAUCGGCCCACUGCCAUCUCUUUACAAAUUCUUCAGAACGAACUGCGACUAUAGUAUUGUCAUUUCUUCUCGUUUCAUCGUUUAAUGUUUCAAAGUUAUCACAUUCCAAGUCAAUAUCCAUCGGUUCAGGCGGCGGCUCACUCGAAAUACUCGCGCCGGCGUUGACACGCUCGGCUUUCUUUCUUUCAUUUAUAAAGUUUCAGAUAACCUCAAGAUAGAAAUCCGUUUUCAGUUACCACUGAGGGACGUGGAGGAAGAACUUUUAAAGAAUUAAUACACGUGUGCUAUGCCAAUAAAUGAUUAGUGUGUUGGACAUUUGAGGUUGAGACGGAAGGGAAAUGUUGAUUGCAGACUUGUGGUUUGUGAUACUGUGUGGUAUUGUUAGUGAUUCCCAGUCUUUUGGGGGGGAUGUAUGGCCUCCAUCUUCAGGGGCGAUACUUUCCUCCAAAAUGUUGGCAGCCUCAUACAAGACCUCAAGGCAUCAACAAAAAUGACCCAAACCAUCAUAAAGUAAGGAAUGUUUAUAAUAUAGUUUUUUCUGUGAAAUUUUACUGUGCUUUUCUGCCAUGUGACUGGUCAGAAUAAAGAUUGUCAAUAAAUACUAACAUUUUCAA